rnacentral:rRNA from 1 species
GACGAACGCUGGCGGCGUGCUUAACACAUGCAAGUCGAACGGUGAAGCUCCAAGCUUGCUUGGGGUGGAUCAGUGGCGAACGGGUGAGUAACACGUGAGUGACCUGCCCCGGACUCUGGAAUAAGCGCUGGAAACGGCGUCUAAUACUGGAUAUGACAUCAAGCCGCAUGGUUAUGGUGUGGAAAGUUUUUCGGUCCGGGAUGGGCUCGCGGCCUAUCAGCUUGUUGGUGAGGUAAUGGCUCACCAAGGCGACGACGGGUAGCCGGCCUGAGAGGGCGACCGGCCACACUGGGACUGAGACACUGCCCAGACUCCUACGGGAGGCAGCAGUGGGGAAUAUUGCACAAUGGGCGAAAGCCUGAUGCAGCGACGCCGCGUGAGGGAUGACGGCCUUCGGGUUGUAAACCUCUUUCAGCAGGGAAGAAGCGAAAGUGACGGUACCUGCAGAAGAAGCACCGGCUAACUACGUGCCAGCCGCCGCCGUAA